ACGCUAGCUACAGGCUUAACACAUGCAAGUCGAGGGGCAGCAUGGUCUUAGCUUGCUAAGGCCGAUGGCGACCGGCGCACGGGUGAGUAACGCGUAUCCAACCUGCCUUACACUCUUGGACAGCCUUCUGAAAGGGAGAUUAAUACAAGAUGUUAUCAUGAGUAAGCAUUUUCGCAUGAUUAAAGGUUUACCGGUGUAAGAUGGGGAUGCGUUCCAUUAGAUAGUAGGCGGGGUAACGGCCCACCUAGUCUUCGAUGGAUAGGGGUUCUGAGAGGAAGGUCCCCCACAUUGGAACUGAGACACGGUCCAAACUCCUACGGGAGGCAGCAGUGAGGAAUAUUGGUCAAUGGACGAGAGUCUGAACCAGCCAAGUAGCGUGAAGGAUGAAGGUUCUAUGGAUUGUAAACUUCUUUUAUACGGGAAUAAACGGAUCCACGUGUGGAUUUUUGCAUGUACCGUAUGAAUAAGGAUCGGCUAACUCCGUGCCAGCAGCCGCGGUAAUACGGAGGAUCCGAGCGUUAUCCGGAUUUAUUGGGUUUAAAGGGAGCGUAGAUGGGUUGUUAAGUCAGUUGUGAAAGUUUGCGGCUCAACCGUAAAAUUGCAAUUGAUACUGGCAGUCUUGAGUACAGUUGAGGUAGGCGGAAUUCGUGGUGUAGCGGUGAAAUGCUUAGAUAUCACGAAGAACUCCGAUUGCGAAGGCAGCUUACUAACCUGUAACUGACAUUGAUGCUCGAAAGUGUGGGUAUCAAACAGGAUUAGAUACCCUGGUAGUCCACACGGUAAACGAUGAAUACUCGCUGUAGGCGAUAUACAGUCUGCGGCCAAGCGAAAGCAUUAAGUAUUCCACCUGGGGAGUACGCCGGCAACGGUGAAACUCAAAGGAAUUGACGGGGGCCCGCACAAGCGGAGGAACAUGUGGUUUAAUUCGAUGAUACGCGAGGAACCUUACCCGGGCUUAAAUUGCAACCGAAUAUGGCGGAAACGCUAUAGCUAGCAAUAGCGGUUGUGAAGGUGCUGCAUGGUUGUCGUCAGCUCGUGCCGUGAGGUGUCGGCUUAAGUGCCAUAACGAGCGCAACCCUUGCCGAUAGUUACUAACAGGUUAUGCUGAGGACUCUGUCGGGACUGCCAUCGUAAGAUGUGAGGAAGGUGGGGAUGACGUCAAAUCAGCACGGCCCUUACGUCCGGGGCUACACACGUGUUACAAUGGGGGGUACAGAGGGCUGCUACCACGCAAGUGGAUGCCAAUCCCAAAAACCUCUCUCAGUUCGGAUUGAAGUCCGCAACCCGACUUCAUGAAGCUGGAUUCGCUAGUAAUCGCGCAUCAGCCACGGCGCGGUGAAUACGUUCCCGGGCCUUGUACACACCGCCCGUCAAGCCAUGGGAGCCGGGGGUACCUGAAGUGCGUAACCGCAAGGAGCGCCCUAGGGUAAAACUGGUGACUGGGGC
rnacentral:rRNA from 1 species